rnacentral:rRNA from 1 species
AACCAGCACCUCAAGUGGUCAGGAGGAUUAUUGGGCCUAAAGCAUCCGUAGCCGGCUCUGUAAGUUUUCGGUUAAAUCCAUGUGCUCAACGCAUGGGCUGCCGAAAAUACUGCAUAGCUAGGGAGUGGGAGAGGUAGACGGUACUCAGUAGGAAGGGGUAAAAUCCUUUGAUCUAUUGAUGACCACCUGUGGCGAAGGCGGUCUACCAGAACACGUUCGACGGUGAGGGAUGAAAGCUGGGGGAGCAAACCGG